UACGUAGGGGGCAAGCGUUGUCCGGAUUUAUUGGGCGUAAAGAGCGUGUAGGCGGCCAAACAGGUCAGCUGUGAAAACUCGAGGCUCAACCUCGAGACGUCGGUUGAAACCGUUUGGCUAGAGUCCGGAAGAGGAGAGUGGAAUUUCCGGUGGAGCGGUGAAAUGCGUAGAGAUCGGAAAGAACACCAACGGCGAAAGCACUCUGCUGGGCCGACACUGACACUGAGAGACGAAAGCUAGGGGAGCGAACAGG
rnacentral:rRNA from 1 species